CACAGGUUAUUAUUAUUGAUAAUGUGUAUGGCCCCAGAGCGAAAUACUUGCUAGCCAUUCAUUUGUCAUCUUUCCUAAAGGACCACUUAGAGUAGCAAAGAAUGACUUGACUGAGUCUAUUUAUAUGAGUUUUAGAAUUCUGUAACCCCAGUUCAGCAAUUGGAGAUUAGUGUUCCCUUGGCAGAAUAUUGGGGGGGAUCCCUCUCUGUCCCCCUAGGCUCACAUUCCCCUGUUCAACGCUAUAGACUUUUUAUUCCCCUGUGAAGAGGGCAGCGGGAGUACUGGGCUUUAAUUUACCUCUCCUCCCUCCUUCGUGGACCUUCCUGAGUGUUGAGGUCUGUCAGUUGUCUGGGAAGAGUGAGGGUAAAUGUCAGAACAGCUUUUUGCUCAGGCCAAAGUUCUUGGCAAGGCAAGAACAUCCCGCCCCAGGCCCCUGUUAACUUGAGUGGAUGGGGAGCUGUCAGAGCCUGGGGUUCCAUUUAAUUCAAUUCUAUUCAGUAGGCAUUUAUUACCAGCCCUGGGGAUGCAAGGAUGAAAUGUCGCAGAAUCCUCUUCUAAGACACCCACUUCGAGAGGUGAGUUUCUUGGCGUGUAGGAAGAAGGGAGCUCAAGGUGGUGGAAAGAGGAGGAGUGGAGGAUUAGGGGUAGGGAUUGUUUUGCUGAGUGGCAGUGGAAGGAAUGGUCUUUUAGCUCAGCUCUAAAGUGCACCUGGCCCAGGUCUGCCCCUUGGCCUCAGCUCACACGCCUCAGUUUUCUCUCUGUUACAGGAGUGCACUGAAAGUUCCGACGUCAGAGCCCUGGUAGGAUUAAGUGAGAUGAUGCACGUAAAGGGUUUACUAUGUGUUGUAAAACUGGGCACGUAGUGAGUGCUUAGUACCUGCCAGCUACUCCUGUUGUUACUGUUUCUGUGUGCUUCUGUAAACCGAUCUGUAAAGCAACUGCACAGACAAAUUAGAGAACUGCUGGGAAUUCUGUUACACUUUUGGUUCUGUCUUAGGCUCCUGGUGAAACCAUGUACUGUACUCACAGGUGAUGGAAAAAUGGGCUGCUGACCCCUCAGCUAAAAGGAUAGGGAGCCCAGUUAGCCUCAGUGAAGUCAGGGAGAGUUGGGGCUUGAGAUGGGAGAGCCGUGCUCCCUGAAAUGGCAAGGCGAGUGAGGGGUGGCUAUAUUGAACCCUUUGGAGAAAAGAGAGGGGCUGAAUGUGUGCGGAUAUGUACAGGCUGUCAGGAAAUGUAGGCUCCUUUAAAAAUGUGAAGACUCCACGUGAGGCGUCUCACAGAGGAUGAGGAGAGCCCGAGACUGACUGUCGGCUCUAAAGUGUAUCCCUGAAAGCUGGGCCAGAGGUGCUGGAGUCCUUCCCAGUGAGUGGUUUCAGCUCCCUCUUUACCAGUUAUGUUGUCAAACUCUUGUUUUGUGUUCCGUGGUGUGACCCUUAGAGUAGUCCUCAGUAGGUUCAAAACUCUGCAGUGUCGGUGGGGAUUGGUUUCAGGGCCGUACUGUGGAUGCUCCAAUCCCAUAGUUGGUCCUCUGUAUCCAUCAGUUCCAUGUCCACAGCCUCAGCCAAGUGCGGGUUGUAAACAUGGUGCCUGAUCAACGGUUGGUUGAAUCCACGGAUGAGGAAACCUGUAUUGUAUAGAGUUUCAUUCUUAAAUGUGUUUUGCCAGAGAGAAAGCCCGUUAGGGUGAAGGCAAAGUGGAACGUGCAUAGGAGGAGGGUGAGUAAACUAGGGACCACGUCAAAUAGGAUUUUUGGAAAAUGCACCUACAGUUGACAAUGUAACCUGCUUUAAAUAGACUGGUUUAUGUUUUUUCGCUUGGGAAAAGAGACUUAGGAAAACAGCACAGGCUCAGGGUGACAAGCGUGUCUGCCUACAGGAGACAGACCUGGAAGGAGGGUGAGUGAUGCGGCCAAGGUGAGCGCUUUGGAAAGUGCAUGCGCAGUGAGGAGAGGCAGCCCAGGGCACAGCAUCCACCCCAUCAUCCCUGUGCCGGAGAGCUGGCCUCCUGCCGAAGAUUUGGACCUUCCAAGAGGAAAUGGGAGGAUGGAAUUUUAAGUGACCCUCCCCACCUUUUAAAUAUUAGCAACAAAUUCCUCUUUUUUCCCCAUAAGAUCAUGAGACAAAAAAGUGAACCAUUUUCGGCCCAUGUCUCUGUUUUUGCAGUGAGAGAGAGUGGAGAGGAAAAUGUGUAACCUGGGGUGAGGCGGCUCCGCUGCAGACACUCCUGGUUCUGGUGCUUGGGAAGCGCAGUGCCUGCCGCGGAGCAUGUGCUCUGCACAUUUUCACUGACUCAGUGAGCCAGCUGGGUAUUCAGGCUAGUAAAUGGUGAUUUCUUAUAAAGGCUAAUACUGUCUUGGGGGAGAUUUCAUAGCACUCAAUAUCUGAUGACUUUCUUGGAUACUUUGGAGAUAUGGCUGGGGUGUCCUGAUGGAAAACUGGAAACUAGCCUGACCUCGAGAAGUCAGAUCAGGCACACUUGAUGCUGGUGGUGUUCUGCCUGCACCCCCAGCCUGCCUUGAGGGAAUCACCGUCAGAGAGGAGGUCUGAACAGAAUUAAAGAGAAGAGCUUCCACAAUCAUAGCAGAUGAAGAUCCACUGGUAAAUCCAUCGGGAUUUUUGGCCUGCCCUCCAAAGAAAAGGUAA